rnacentral:rRNA from 1 species
UACGAAGGGGGCUAGCGUUGCUCGGAAUGACUGGGCGUAAAGGGCGCGUAGGCGGUUCACGCAGUCAGAUGUGAAAUUCCUGGGCUCAACCUGGGGCUGCAUUGAUACGCGUGGACUGGAGUGGGGAAGAGGGUCGUGGAAUUCCCAGUGUAGAGGUGAAAUUCGUAGAUAUUGGGAAGAACACCGGUGGCGAAGGCGGCGACCUGGUCCUUGACUGACGCUGAGGCGCGAAGCGUGGGGAGCAAACAGG